rnacentral:rRNA from 1 species
UACGUAGGGUGCAAGCGUUAAUCGGAAUUACUGGGCGUAAAGCGUGCGCAGGCGGCGCGUUAAGACAGGUGUGAAAGCCCCCGAGCUUAACUUGGGGAAUUGCGCUUGUGACUGCAUGGCUAGAGUUUGGCAGAGGGGGGUAGAAUUCCACGUGUAGCAGUGAAAUGCGUAGAUAUGUGGAGGAACACCGAUGGCGAAGGCAGCCCCCUGGGUCAAGACUGACGCUCGAUGCACGAAAGCGUGGGGAGCAAACAGG